rnacentral:lncRNA from 1 species
CAACUGACUCCUAUUCAUUCUUUGAAAUAAGCAGACACAUGUUGUUUCAGUGAUUCUUUCAGUUGGUGAUUUGCCUGGUGCAUUGCUAUGUGAGGUCACCUCCCGUCAAAUGACCCACAGGUGGUAACAGUCUGUGAACAAACAGUUUACAGGAGGGACCAACCAUGUGCGGACGGACAUGGGGUGGGUCAUUUCAAAGUGAGGUAGUCAACCUGUACCCUAGUCUGGCACAGACAGAGGAAGCCACAAUCCUUUAGAGAGAAAAAAAUUACAAAGUAUAAAUAUCCUUUGUUAAGAGAAACAGUGGAGCUCCGAGCAGAUGGUACUCAGAGCCAGAUGGAGCUAGGAGUGACUGGGGCUCUGAGCAAGGUGGAGCUCAGAACAGAUGGUGCUCAGGAGCUCCGAACCAGAUGGAGCUCAGAUCAGAUAGACCUCUGAGCAAGAAGGAGCUCCAAACAAAAUGGAACUUGGAGCAGAUGUUGCUGGUGUAAGAUGGAGCUCAGAGCAGAUGGUGCCCAGAGCAAGAGGGAGCUCAGAGUGAUUGGCACUCUGAACAUGAUGGAGUUUGGAGGAGAUGUUGCUUGGUUUUAGUUGGAGCUCAGAGCAAAAUGGAGCCCACAGUGAUUACAGCUCCAAGCAAGG